GGGUAAAGGUGUACGGUCCAGAUGUGAUCACGUUUAUCAAGAAAUGAUCCUAACGGUCCUCAAAAACCUAUAUAUACCCAUUGAAUUUGGCUCUCAUUUGCACCAUUUCCUUCAAAUCUGCUAUGAUCUCUAAUUUUUGAGGGUCUUGAACUCUUUUUGAGAACCUCCUUCAGUUCAUAGGACCUCUUCCGAAAGGUCAAACGUUUCGAUAAACGCUUUGACUUUUAAUCGGUUGAGCCAUGGUACUACGCGUAAUAGGCUGGUCACUCCUUAAGCAUCCAUAGAAGUCUCGCAAGCUUAGGAUGCAUGAAGUCUGUUGAAAUGAAGUUUCCUUUUUAUUUGAUUCUGCCUGUGGAUUCUAUUUCGACAUUUUGUGAUACUCGAAUAUUACAACAAUUUAAGUUGAAAUGAAUCUAUCUUUGCUUCCGCUGUGCAUUAUAAUUUGUGUUGUUUGACUAUGAUGAU
rnacentral:lncRNA from 1 species